AUCCUAGCCAGCAGUAGUACUGCAGACUUCCCAGUACUGAAGGUGAAUUGUUAAGUUUUGGAGCAUCUGGAAUCUGAAGGGAUGGCCUUGAAGGUCACAUUUCAGCAUGGUCAGGUGUCUAAUCCCAGCACAGAAGACUAAAGAAUAAAGAUUCGUUGUAGAAAGAAGGCAGAGGAAUUCAGAUGCUCAGAGUUCCUCACAGUGCUUCCAGAUGCAGCUGGCUGAGAUGUAUUGACUUGAAAACCACAACGAAAAAGCAUUUGAGAGAUGAAUUCAGAGUGAAUUAGGAUGGGGAGAGCUCAUUACAAUUUGUAUAUAUUGCAAUAGUGAAUGUGACCUUUCUGUCUUUCCUGGUGAUGCUUUAUCUGUGAGAAGGUGUUUCAACUUACAGUGAAAGAUGUAGAAUGCAUCCUUCUUCACUUUACAUCUUCUUUCUCUCCAUUGAAAUGUGGAUUCAGCUUCUUUCUUGUAUUUCCAUUGCACUACUGUCACUGAAAACAAAUUUUACCUCAMCAGUUCUUUUUUACAGUGCUACUGUGCUUCUCUGGUAUAAAAGAGUCUGUGAAAUUUUCAGCAUUCAGCUUUGCAUUCAGGUUGAAACUGAUUUAAAGCUGCAGUUUUGACCCUUUGGGGUGUCUUUAGAACUAAACUUGUAUCAGGCAGAUAAUGUUUAUUUUAGUGCUUUGUUGGGGUGAUUUGUUUUUAAUUGGAUUGUACAGGAGGAGCUUGUUCUUAAGCAAUAUUGAUAAUAUAUCCUAARCAAAUGAUGCAACAAGUGUAUUUUGUACUUAUUUCCAAAGAGAAACUGCAGUUAAUUAUUACAUAUUUCAUAUGCUUGUGAAAACCUGAAUUGAAAGGAAAAUUACAUGAUUCAAAGUAAUACUUUAUGUCAAUAGAGUAGUUUUGUUAGCAAAUGGAGGGACGUGGUUAGCAAUGGAGUUUUAUGCUGCUGGAUCUCAUGUAUGUAUAUGGCUGUAAGCAUACAUCCAAGUAUGAACAAGUCAUGAAAUUCUGGAGAUCGAAAAGCAGCUCAAAUUAUUGACCUUACAUGGCUGUUUGAAGGAUGCUUUUGAUCUUUGAAAUGGUGCAUGCAGUGACGCUCGAACCUGGAUAUUAACA